rnacentral:rRNA from 1 species
AUUACCGCUGGCGGCAUGCCUAACACAUGCAAGUCGAACGGCAGCGCGGGCUUCGGCCUGGCGGCGAGUGGCGGACGGGUGAGUAAUGCUUGGGAAUCUGCCCAGUAGUGGGGGACAACACGGCGAAAGCCGUGCUAAUACCGCAUACGUCCUACGGGAGAAAGCGGGGGAUCUUCGGACCUCGCGCUAUUGGAUGAGCCCAAGUCGGAUUAGCUAGUUGGUAGGGUAAUGGCCUACCAAGGCAACGAUCCGUAGCUGGUCUGAGAGGACGAUCAGCCACACCGGAACUGAGACACGGUCCGGACUCCUACGGGAGGCAGCAGUGGGGAAUAUUGGACAAUGGGCGAAAGCCUGAUCCAGCAAUGCCGCGUGUGUGAAGAAGGCCUGCGGGUUGUAAAGCACUUUCAGCAGGGAAGAACAGCAUGAGGCUAAUACCCUCGUGUCCUGACGUCACCUGAAGAAGAAGCACCGGCUAACUCCGUGCCAGCAGCCGCGGUAAUACGGAGGGUGCAAGCGUUAAUCGGAAUUACUGGGCGUAAAGCGCACGUAUGUGGCUUGGUAAGUCGAAUGUGAAAGCCCUGGGCUUAACCUGGGAACUGCAUCCGAAACUGCCUGGCUAAGUAAGGGAGAGGGAAGCGGAAUUUCCGGUGUACGGUGAAAUGCGUAAUAUCGGAAGGAACACCACUGGC